GUAUUCUAUAUGCACAACGAUAAAAAUGCUGUUGACGAACUAUAAAGUAAAAUUGUCAAUACUGGUGACAUUUUUCUUAGCUUUUCUAUUUGCCGUUUCCUACAAGUAUAACUAUAUUCUAACGAAGCAACAAAGCGUUUGUAUAGACUCUCAAACAAAUGGUGAAAGAACAUCACAAAAUUUCUCAAACGACGUUGUCACGCAAACCCUGAAAGAAAGUAUCAAAUGGUCAGAAAUCAAGCGAAGACGAAGACUAAAAAAUACCACAAUUCACGAAAGAUGGAUAGUCGUGACUUCAGUAUCGAUGCCAACCGAGCAAGUGAAAGGAUUGUCCACAAUUAAAGGAUGGAAGCUUGUUGUCGUCGCAGAUGUAAAGACGCCAGAUAAUUGGAAGUAUGUCAGUAUAGU